rnacentral:rRNA from 1 species
UACGGAGGGUGCAAACGUUGCUCGGAAUUAUUGGGCGUAAAGCGCACGUAGGUGGUCUAUCAAGUCAGGUGUGAAAGCCCUGGGCUCAACCCAGGAAGUGCACUUGAAACUGACAGGCUUGAGUAUGGAAGAGGGUCGCGGAAUUCCCGGUGUAGAGGUGAAAUUCGUAGAUAUCGGGAGGAACACCAGUGGCGAAGGCGGCGACCUGGGCCAAUACUGACACUGAGGUGCGAAAGCGUGGGGAGCAAACAGG